AUUCAUUAUUUCAUGGAGAGUUAUUUUUCUCCCCUUCUUGUUACCAAAACUGUAUACAAAUAAACAGAGGUGUUGGUGAAGAUUUUGUGAGAGUUACUAAUGUGCUGGAUCUAUCAAAGCUUAAGAAUUUAAGCUAAAAAUCACACUUGGUCCCAGUUCCUUCCCAGAUUUCACCUAUUUUCCCCUUCCCCAUAGUGUCACAUGAGACUCAGGCAUCCCUUCUGUCCACUGUAUAUCCCCAUCUGCACAAAGUCUGUGGGCCAUUGGAAUGUGGUGCUGUGAUCUACCUAGAUGACAAUUUAUCUCAAAACAACGCUUUCUGAAUUUCAGUGCGAUCUUCCAGCUUGCUUCCUUCCCUGAAGAACCUACUGCUCAUAUCUUUUUCAUCUGUCCAGUCUCAUUCGAUCCCUCUUUCUCUUUUCUUGCAAGCCACCAGUUUGCUGUUGUUCUUAUUAUUUUGGACUUCUACAUUUGCUCCAACUCUUGCCCUUUUUUGUCAAAUAAGCUGUUGAAUUAUGCUGCCUUAAGGACCAUCUCUAUUCCAAUUUCUCUUUAUUCAGCCAUUCUCAUUGAAUUUUUUCAUUUCUCUGAACUUCCCAAUCCUCAGAUUAAAUUGCCUCCUACUUUUUUCCACUGCUAGUCUGUUUUCAGGCAGGUAAUAUAAGCUCAAUGUCUUCAGGGACAGCUAAGCCAAUACGAGGAACACCAGACUGGUCUAUUGAUGAGAGUGAAGUGUCUAUGAUAAUAAGGGAGUUAUUCAGGCAGCCUCUAGGGAAUUUUUGAAGGGAAGAAUAAUUUCAAGCUUGUAGGAAUGCGUAAAAUGGGAUACAAAGCAAGAUGGACUUAAUAAAGUUAAACUCAGAGCUUACUUCUAUAAGAUAAAGGUGUUUACAGAAAGGUGGUAUACUGGAGCUAAUCUCUUAGGGUCACUCAAGGCCAGUUUUGAGCUAUAUCUUCAAGUGAUUCAACAACUGAUCCAACUGUUCCUUCAACAAAAGAGGUCUGAGCGACGAAAUGGAAGCUUUUUUUCACAGCAUACGUGACAUUUUUGGCCCCUGUUCCAGUAAGGAUUGCAUGUCAUCUUGUUCAACGCUCUUCUGCAAAUGAGCUGUUGAAAAACACGGUUUUCCUUCUUGUUUUGGAGAAGGACAACAAGAAGUUGAAAGAUUUUCAGUUUCAGCUUAAAUUACAAAAGGAGGAAAGAAGGAAUGGGAAAUCUGCUAUUUACUGUUACUUUUUUUUCCUGUGUAUCAACAUACGUGACUAAAUGGCACAAUCUGGACUCAAACACUGAUUAUCAAGGAUAGAUCAUUUCUGAACACAAAAGAACACAACUUGAUUUGGGGAAGUUUCAAGCAGACUUCUUGGUCGUUGGCACAAGGACUUGGUGUUCACGGAGAGUAAAGACAGUGAAGCUGGUGCCAUUCUCAAAUGAAACCACUGGCAUUCUGCAGAGCUGGAGAUGUGUUUUUCAACACUUCGCUCAUUAAGAACAGCUUCUAUCCACCAGCAUGUUAAUCAUUAGCUGUAGAUGGCUGGAGGGGAAGAGGAAUGUGUUGAGGUUCUAGCAGAACUUUUAUGUGUUAAAGUUGUUGGCUAGAUAAGAUACGGCAGAAGAUCAGGUUAAAGGCUGUAUUUGAAAUAUUUUCAGUGGCUCUGCAGUUCAAAAGAGCCAUUCAGACUGCUGCUAGUGCACGCACCCUUACGUCAACCAGAGGAGGGAGGUAUGCACCUUGUAGAGGUCUUCUAAUUCACUAUUCAACAGUAACUGCUUUUCUCCAUUGGCUGGGUGGGGAACAUGAGGAUCUGGCCCCAGGGUUAUGGAAGUCUCAAUUUCUCUUUGAUGUCUUGAGUUCUGGUUGCAUACUCUGUGCUUUAGUAUCUGAAAGUGAUCAUCACUCAAGGUUUGGAGGGUUAAUCAGCUUGAUCCAUAGAAUGUCUUAGCUCGAAGGGACCUAAAGAUCACCAACUUCCAACGUCCCUCCUACAAGGAGGGUUUCCAACCCCAAAUUAGGCUGCCCAGGGCCCCACCCAACUUGGAUCCAGAGCAAGAUGACUUCAACCUAGGAAAUCUGUAGACCCAGAUCUUGUUCUGCUGUCUCCCAUAGGCCCUUUCAGCUGCCAUUUAAUGCUCCUGGCUCCAGUUCUCUUACACACAGUAAGAAGGCAAUGCCUCAAGCCACUUUUACAUCUAAUGGGAACAUGGAACAAAGUCACAUAAUGGCCCUACUGACAUCACAAAUGUGCCAUGUAUGCCACCAGCAGCACAGUUGAUGCAACAAAUCCAUCAGCUUGCAUUCAAACCAUCCAUCUCCUAACACGCUGAACUUUUCCAAACCCAUGUUACUGGUGUGAGACUCAGUAAAGGUGACUGUUGUUCGGUAGAAAGCCUAGAAUUAUUUCACUUUGCAAAGUGUUUCAGUCAGCAGCCAACCAAACUCAUACUGAGCAUUCAGCAUUUUAUUUUUUUAUGCAGAAAUAAAUGGCAAAAUUCCCAUGAUCUUCAAAGGGAGACUACUGCCCAGAAAAACCUUUUCAAUUUGUUCUGGGAAAGAAAUAAAAUCUGGUCCAGGACAGUUUAAACUACGGUCUCUGCCCACAACAUGAAAAUCCAGAGAUUUGGAUCAAACUGUAUUACCAAACACAGACCUGGGGAAGGAAGAUUGGUGGUGAGCUCAGUUCUACUUUGCAGCACUGAUCUUGUUUUCAGGAAUAAUCUCUGAACAUUGCAGACUGGAUCUCUGCUAAAAAAACAGAGCAUUCCUGGAGUGAGAUGAAUAAAUUCUACCCUUUGCCCAUGAACACUUCUCAAAGAGUCAGUGUCAGAAUUGUGGUUUCUCAGUAAAAGCUCUGGACCAGCUUUCCAAGUGGAGUGGGCAGAUUGCGAACAGCUGAAGGACUGAGCAGCACCAUUUGCCAUGGUGAAGAGCCACCAGGCUAGAAGAAAACUUCUCGGCUCAUUGCAGCCCUGAUCUUGCAGGUGGCAAAGCCAUAUGCUAGAGCUACACUGACACAGCUGUGAGAGCUCUAUUUAUAUGACAUGGCUUAUAAGCUUCUUCAUUUGUCAGUCCACAUGUGUGUGUCUCAUGCCAAAUCUCAAGUCUUCUGUACAUGCCCCUGUUACCCAAGAAGAUCAAGAUCGGUCUUGGCAUAAACUCUCUCCCUUGGGUUUGAUUGUAUUAUCCUUUUGGGCUUUAGUAGGAUGCCAGCAUACCCUCAACCUUUUACAAAAUUGCUUUUUUGUUGUCCUUCCUCUAAACCCCUUUCUUCACUUUGCAAUUCAAACCCAGGCCUUCUGCAUGCUGAUCAAAGCAUGGACCUGGAUCCAGAUGGUCACACCAGGACCUGACCAGCAGCAGGAGGGCUUUGGCUGCUACAACAGAAGAGCCCUUGUGGCUGGAAUCCCUCCUCAAAGUGAUUUGUGAAUUGAAGGCAACUCCUCCUCAGCUCUCUGCCCACCACUGCAUGAGUCAGGGAGCAGCUAGAGGAAGCUACAGGAGAGGUUUGCAGCUAGAGCCUUCCUCAUGCAUGGAAGUGGUUGGUAAUGUGUGGGAAUGUUCCCCUAAACAUCACCAAUGAGCACUGCCACACACGUUUCCUUAACAGCUCCAGGGACAGUGACUCCACCACCUCCUUAAGCAGCCUGUUUCAGUGCCUGACCACUCUUUUCUUUGCCUCUGUGCAGCCUUCCAGCCACUCUGCCCCAAGUCUGCAGCCGAUGCCUGGGGUUGUCCUGAAGCACAGGGCUGAGGCUGCACUCAAUUCCCUCAUCCAGACUAUCAAUACAGAUAUUAAACAGCAUGGACUCCAAUAGUGACCCCUGGGGAACACCACUUGUGACGGGUCUGGCUUAUGCAUUUCCCUGAACAUGACUGUGAAAAGCAGCUCUUGGCUGCUCAGAGUGAGACCAGCCGGAGGUCCUGAGUGAAGCUGGGAGUUGAAGUCUUGGAGCAAAGGUCUAUCAGUGCCCUUAUCCAAGGAGCAGCUAGGUAAUAGGGAAAGGGCUAGCUAACCAUGUGUGGGACAACCUUUCCAGAGAUAACUAAACACAUCUGGGCCUGAUUUGUGCAAGUAGGAUAGAGCAUAUCAGUGGAAGGUGAGGAGUAAGGGGUGAGAUCCACUAAUAGCAAAUGCAGAGCUGCUCCCAGGUGGAGCAGGAAGCCUGCUUCUGCAGCAGCUUUAGGAACAAGAGACCUGCACAGGUUGCUGUGCAGGCACAAAUCAGUUCCCAGCAGGGCUUGGCAGCAAGCAGUGAAUCAAAACCAUCCCUCUGGGGCACGGAGCUGCUCCAAAAUGCACCAGUUUCACCUUGUUUAAAAAUCUUCAGCCUGGGAGCACCACAGUCCCUACCCCCUUCAUGAUGCCCCCCCUUUCUGCAUCCCUCUCCUGAAAUUACAUACAGCCCAGAAACCAGGGGUGCUGGCAUCUGCUUGGAUAAUUUGGUUGACUGAGCAUGACUUUGAUUCAUUUAUUUUUUUGAGAGGGAAAUAUUUGCCUCAACUGGAGAAUAAUUCCCUCCCUCUCCUGAGAUUGUCUUUAAUAGCUAAAUCUCAGCAUGCUCACUCACUCUCAUACCUCUGGAAACAAUUGAAUCAAUUCCUUGUUUAUAGAAUGACUGUGUUUGUGCACAGUUGACAAAAUAAAACUUGC